GAUGAAGAACGUAGCGAAAUGCGAUACGUAGUGUGAAUUGCAGAAUUCAGUGAAUCAUCGAGUCUUUGAACGCACAUUGCGCCCCCUGGUAUUCCGGGGGGCAUGCCUGUCCGAGCGUCAUUGCUGCCCUCAAGCACGGCUUGUGUGUUGGGCCCCGUCCUCCGAUCCCGGGGGACGGGCCCGAAAGGCAGCGGCGGCACCGCGUCCGGUCCUCGAGCGUAUGGGGCUUUGUCACCCGCUCUGUAGGCCCGGCCGGCGCUUGCCGAUCAACCCAAAUUUUUAUCCAGGUUGACCUCGGAUCAGGUAGGGAUACCCGCUGAACUUAAGCAUAUCAAUAAGCGGAGGA
rnacentral:misc_RNA from 1 species